rnacentral:misc_RNA from 1 species
GAUGAAGAACGUAGCGAAAUGCGAUAAGUAAUGUGAAUUGCAGAAUUCAGUGAAUCAUCGAAUCUUUGAACGCAUCUUGCGCUCCUUGGUAUUCUGAGGAGCAUGCCUGUUUGAGUGUCAUUAAAUUCUCAACUACACUGACUUUGAAUUGGUGUGGCUUGGAUUUGGGGGGAAAAUUGUUGUGGGCUUUUUGUAUAGUCUGCUCCCCUGAAAUUGAUUAGCGGUACCUUUGUGGAACUGUCUACAGGUGUGAUAAUUAUCUACAUCUGCUGGAAUGCUGCUUUCUAAACCUUACUAGUAUUGACAAUCUUGACCUCAAAUCAGGUAGGACUACCCGCUGAACUUAAGCAUAUCAAUAAGCGGAGGA